UACAAAUUAAUUUCCUCAAACAUGAUCUUUUUUUUUGUUUUGGUUCUUGUUCUACUGGCAAUGGGAGAUAUUGACAUCAAUUCAAUUGGUGAUGCAGAAGGUUCAGGUGAUUCCUCUUGGUCAUUGAUAUGAAAUGCUGGAGGUGGUGAUGGUAGUGUAUCAUGUUUUGGGCUUGAUGACUGUGGUGGCGUGUAGAUGCUACGAUUGAAUGGUUCAGGCGUGCUAAUAUUUCCCUGUGCUGAUGGUGUUUGGGAUGAUUCCAUACUUAAAUAUGAGGACUGCAUGGUCUGGCUAUAAAGAUGUGAAUUUGUGGUAGAAUUAAGGCUUCUAAGUAGUGCUUCUGUCUUUUGAGGUACUGCACCUGUUGUCAGUGUGGUAAGUAACAGAUUUAUUUUGGUUGUAACUGUUGCAUUAUUGGGAA